rnacentral:rRNA from 1 species
GGUGAACGCUGGCGGCGUGCUUAAGACAUGCAAGUCGAACGGCAGUCUUCGGACUGUAGUGGCGCACGGGUGAGUAACGCGUAACUGACCUACCCCAAAGUCGCGGAUAACGAUUCGAAAGAAUCGCUAAUACGUGAUGUGCUGUCAGAUUGUGUUCUGCCAGUAAAGAUUGAUUGCUUUGGGAUGGGGUUGCGUUCCAUCAGCUAGUUGGCGGGGUAAAGGCCCACCAAGGCGACGACGGAUAGCCGGCCUGAGAGGGUGGCCGGCCACAGGGGCACUGAGACACGGGUCCCACUCCUACGGGAGGCAGCAGUUAGGAAUCUUCCACAAUGGGCGAAAGCCUGAUGGAGCGACGCCGCGUGAGGGAUGAAGGCCUUCGGAUCGUAAACCUCUGAAUCAGGGACGAAAGACACUUCGGUGGGAUGACGGUACCUGAGUAAUAGCACCGGCUAACUCCGUGCCAGCAGCCGCGGUAACAC